rnacentral:rRNA from 1 species
AAAUUGAAGAGUUUGAUCAUGGCUCAGAUUGAACGCUGGCGGCAGGCCUAACACAUGCAAGUCGAACGGUAACAGGAAGAAGCUUGCUUCUUUGCUGACGAGUGGCGGACGGGUGAGUAAUGUCUGGGAAACUGCCUGAUGGAGGGGGAUAACUACUGGAAACGGUAGCUAAUACCGCAUAACGUCGCAAGACCAAAGAGGGGGACCUUCGGGCCUCUUGCCAUCGGAUGUGCCCAGAUGGGAUUAGCUAGUAGGUGGGGUAACGGCUCACCUAGGCGACGAUCCCUAGCUGGUCUGAGAGGAUGACCAGCCACACUGGAACUGAGACACGGUCCAGACUCCUACGGGAGGCAGCAGUGGGGAAUAUUGCACAAUGGGCGCAAGCCUGAUGCAGCCAUGCCGCGUGUAUGAAGAAGGCCUUCGGGUUGUAAAGUACUUUCAGCGGGGAGGAAGGGAGUAAAGUUAAUACCUUUGCUCAUUGACGUUACCCGCAGAAGAAGCACCGGCUAACUCCGUGCCAGCAGCCGCGGUAAUACGGAGGGUGCAAGCGUUAAUCGGAAUUACUGGGCGUAAAGCGCACGCAGGCGGUUUGUUAAGUCAGAUGUGAAAUCCCCGGGCUCAACCUGGGAACUGCAUCUGAUACUGGCAAGCUUGAGUCUCGUAGAGGGGGGUAGAAUUCCAGGUGUAGCGGUGAAAUGCGUAGAGAUCUGGAGGAAUACCGGUGGCGAAGGCGGCCCCCUGGACGAAGACUGACGCUCAGGUGCGAAAGCGUGGGAGCAAACAGGAUUAGAUACCACAGUCCACGCCGUAAACGAUGUCGACUUGGAGGUUGUGCCCUUUGAGGCGUGGCUUCCGGAGCUAACGCGUUAAGUCGACCGCACGGGGAGUACGGCCGCAAGGUUAAAACUCAAAUGAAUUGACGGGGGCCCGCACAAGCGGUGGAGCAUGUGGUUUAAUUCGAUGCAACGCGAAGAACCUUACCUGGUCUUGACAUCCACGGAAGUUUUCAGAGAUGAGAAUGUGCCUUCGGGAACCGUGAGACAGGUGCUGCAUGGCUGUCGUCAGCUCGUGUUGUGAAAUGUUGGGUUAAGUCCCGCAACGAGCGCAACCCUUAUCCUUUGUUGCCAGCGGUCCGGCUUAGGGAACUCAAAGGAGACUGCCAGUGAUAAACUGGAGGAAGGUGGGGAUGACGUCAAGUCAUCAUGGCCCUUACGACCAGGGCUACACACGUGCUACAAUGGCGCAUACAAAGAGAAGCGACCUCGCGAGAGCAAGCGGACCUCAUAAAGUGCGUCGUAGUCCGGAUUGGAGUCUGCAACUCGACUCCAUGAAGUCGGAAUCGCUAGUAAUCGUGGAUCAGAAUGCCACGGUGAAUACGUUCCCGGGCCUUGUACACACCGCCCGUCACACCAUGGGAGUGGGUUGCAAAAGAAGUAGGUAGCUUAACCUUCGGGAGGGCGCUUACCACUUUGUGAUUCAUGACUGGGGUGAAGUCGUAACAAGGUAACCGUAGGGGAACCUGCGGUUGGAUCACCUCCUUACCUUAAAGAAGC